rnacentral:rRNA from 1 species
CUACGGGUUGCUGCAGUGGGGAAUAUUGGACAAUGGGGGAAACCCUGAUCCAGCAAUGCCGCGUGUGUGAAGAAGGCCUGCGGGUUGUAAAGCGCUUUCGGUUGGGAGGACUGCUUCUAGCACUAAUAUUGUUGGAAGUUGACGUUACCUUCAGAAGAAGCACCGGCUAACUCCGUGCCAGCAGCCGCGGUAAUGCGGAGGGUGCAUGCGUUAAUCGGAAUUACUGGGCGUAAAGCGCGCGUAGGCGGCUAGAUCAGUCGGGUGUGAAAGCCCCGGGCUUAACCUGGGAACUGCAUCCGAUACUGGCGAGCUUGAGUACAGGAGAGGAGAGUGGAAUUCCACAUGUAGCGGUGAAAUGCGUAGAUAUGUGGAGGAACACCAAUGGCGAAGGCAGCUCUCUGGCCUGAUACUGACGCUGAGGUGCGAAAGCGUGGGGAGCAAACAGGAUUAGAUACCCCUGUAGUC